UAUCUAUGAUGUGGACACUAAACUAAAAUCAAUUUAAAAUGUUUCCAAGUCUCAUGGAAUGGUUCACCUUCAAUUUGGGAGAAAGUAGCAAUUUUAUCACUUAGUUC